CAGUAGGGAAUCUUCCACAAUGGGCGCAAGCCUGAUGGAGCAACGCCGCGUGUGUGAUGAAGGCUUUCGGGUCGUAAAGCACUGUUGUAUGGGAAGAAAUGCUAAAAUAGGGAAUGAUUUUAGUUUGACGGUACCAUACCAGAAAGGGACGGCUAAAUACGUGCCAGCAGCCGCGGUAAUACGUAUGUCCCGAGCGUUAUCCGGAUUUAUUGGGCGUAAAGCGAGCGCAGACGGUUGAUUAAGUCUGAUGUGAAAGCCCGGAGCUCAACUCCGGAAUGGCAUUGGAAACUGGUUAACUUGAGUGUUGUAGAGGUAAGUGGAACUCCAUGUGUAGCGGUGGAAUGCGUAGAUAUAUGGAAGAACACCAGUGGCGAAGGCGGCUUACUGGACAACAACUGACGUUGAGGCUCGAAAGUGUGGGUAGCAAACAGGAUUAGAUACCCUGGUAGUCCACACCGUAAACGAUGAAUACUAGGUGUUAGGAGGUUUCCGCCUCUUAGUGCCGAAGCUAACGCAUUAAGUAUUCCGCCUGGGGAGUACGACCGCAAGGUUGAAACUCAAAGGAAUUGACGGGGACCCGCACAAGCGGUGGAGCAUGUGGUUUAAUUCGAAGCAACGCGAAGAACCUUACCAGGUCUUGACAUCCUUUGAAGCUUUUAGAGAUAGAAGUGUUCUCUUCGGAGACAAAGUGACAGGUGGUGCAUGGUCGUCGUCAGCUCGUGUCGUGAGAUGUUGGGUUAAGUCCCGCAACGAGCGCAACCCUUAUUGUUAGUUGCCAGCAUUCAGUUGGGCACUCUAGCGAGACUGCCGGUGACAAACCGGAGGAAGGCGGGGACGACGUCAGAUCAUCAUGCCCCUUAUGACCUGGGCUACACACGUGCUACAAUGGCGUAUACAACGAGUUGCCAACCUGCGAAGGUGAGCUAAUCUCUUAAAGUACGUCUCAGUUCGGACUGCAGUCUGCAACUCGACUGCACGAAGUCGGAAUCGCUAGUAAUCGCGGAUCAGCACGCCGCGGUGAAUACGUUCCCGGGUCUUGUACACACCGCCCGUCACACCAUGGGAGUUUGUAAUGCCCAAAGCCGGUGGCCUAACCUUCGG
rnacentral:rRNA from 1 species